rnacentral:rRNA from 1 species
AGUGAACGCUGGCGGUAGGCCUAACACAUGCAAGUCGAACGGCAGCACAGUAAGAGCUUGCUCUUACGGGUGGCGAGUGGCGGACGGGUGAGGAAUACAUCGGAAUCUACUUUUUCGUGGGGGAUAACGUAGGGAAACUUACGCUAAUACCGCAUACGACCUACGGUUGAAAGCAGGGGAUCUUCGGACCUUGCGCGAUUGAAUGAGCCGAUGUCGGUUUAGCUAGUUGGCGGGGUAAAGGCCCACCAAGGCGACGAUCCGUAGCUGGUCUGAGAGGAUGAUAAGCCACACUGGAACUGAGACACGGUCCAGACUCCUACGGGAGGCAGCAGUGGGGAAUAUUGGACAAUGGGCGCAAGCCUGAUCCAGCCAUACCGCGUGGGUGAAGAAGGCCUUCGGGUUGUAAAGCCCUUUUGUUGGGAAAGAAAAGCAGCAGGUUAAUACCCCGCUGUUCUGACGGUACCCAAAGAAUAAGCACCGGCUAACUUCGUG